AAUGAACGCUGGCGGCGUGCUUUACACAUGCAAGUCGAGCGAGGCGUCCCGCAAGGGAUAGUCGAGCGGCGAACGGGUGAGUAACGCGUGGAUUAUCUGCCCUGAGGUGGGGGAUAACCCGGGGAAACUCGGGCUAAUACCGCAUAUGACCGUGAGGUCAAAGGGGGUCGCAAGAUCUCUCGCCAUAGGAGGAGUCCGCGUACGAUUAGCUAGUUGGUAGGGUAAUGGCCUACCAAGGCGACGAUCGUUAGCCGGCCCUGAGAGGGUGAUCGGCCACACUGGAACUGAGACACGGUCCAGACUCCUACGGGAGGCAGCAGUGGGGAAUUUUGCGCAAUGGGCUAACGCCUGACGCAGCAACGCCGCGUGGA
rnacentral:rRNA from 1 species